rnacentral:rRNA from 1 species
UACGUAGGGUGCGAGCGUUAAUCGGAAUUACUGGGCGUAAAGCGUGCGCAGGCGGCGCGUUAAGACAGGUGUGAAAGCCCCGAGCUUAACUUGGGAAUUGCGCUUGUGACUGGCGUGCUGGAGUGUGGCAGAGGGAGGUGGAAUUCCACGUGUAGCAGUGAAAUGCGUAGAUAUCGAGAGGAACACCUGCGGCGAAGGCGGGUAGCUGGGCCGACACUGACGCUGAUGCGCGAAAGCCGGAGGGCGCAAACGGG